AACGUAGGUGGCAAGCGUUAUCCGGAAUUACUGGGCGUAAAGGGUGUGCAGGCGGGUUGGUAAGUGGGGUGUGAAAUCUCCCAGCUUAACUGGGAUAGGUUAUGCCAGACUGCCAAUCUAGAGGACGAGAGAGGGGGGUGGAAUUCCGGGUGUAGUGGUGAAAUGCGUAGAGAUCCGGAGGAACCCCAGAGGCGAAGGCGGCCCCCUGGCUCGUACCUGACGCUCAGCCACGAAAGCAUGGGGAGCGAACGGG
rnacentral:rRNA from 1 species